GACAGAGGCCACGAACGUUGUUCGGAAUCACUGGGCAUAAAGCGCACGUAGGCGGCUGGGUCCGUCCGAUGUGAAAGCCCCCGGCUCAACCGGGGAAUUGCAUCGGAUACAGCCCGGCUUGAGGACGGUUGGGGUGAGUGGAACUCCUGGUGGAGCGGUGAAAUGCGUUGAUAUCGGAAGGAACGCCGGUGGCGAAAGCGGUCCGCUGGGUCCCCUCUGACGCUGAGGCGCGAAAGCCAGGGGAGCAAACGGG
rnacentral:rRNA from 1 species